rnacentral:rRNA from 1 species
GAUGAACGCUGGCGGCGUGCCUAAUACAUGCAAGUCGAGCGAACAGACCAGGAGCUUGCUCCUCUGACGUUAGCGGCGGACGGGUGAGUAACACGUGGAUAACCUACCUAUAAGACUGGGAUAACUUCGGGAAACCGGAGCUAAUACCGGAUAAUAUAUUGAACCGCAUGGUUCAAUAGUGAAAGUCGGUUUUGCUGUCACUUAUAGAUGGAUCCGCGCCGCAUUAGCUAGUUGGUAAGGUAACGGCUUACCAAGGCGACGAUGCGUAGCCGACCUGAGCGGGUGGUCGGCCACACUGGAACUGAGACAGGGUCCAGACUCCUAGGGGAGGCAGCAGUAGGGAAUCUUACGCGAGGGGCGAAAGCCUGACGGAGGAACGCCGCGUGAGUGAUGAAGGACUUCGGAUCGUAGAACUCUGUUAUUAGGGAAGAACAAAUGUGUAAGUAACUAUGCACGUCUUGACGGUACCGAAUCAGAAAGCCACGGCUAACUACGUG